AGUGAACGCUGGCGGUAGGCCUAACACAUGCAAGUCGAACGGCAGCACAGUAAGAGCUUGCUCUUACGGGUGGCGAGUGGCGGACGGGUGAGGAAUACAUCGGAAUCUACUUUUUCGUGGGGGAUAACGUAGGGAAACUUACGCUAAUACCGCAUACGACCUACGGGUGAAAGCAGGGGAUCUUCGGACCUUGCGCGAUUGAAUGAGCCGAUGUCGGAUUAGCUGGUUGGCGGGGUAAAGGCCCACCAAGGCGACGAUCCGUAGCUGGUCUGAGAGGAUGAUCAGCCACACUGGACCUGAGACACGGUCCAGACUCCUACGGGAGGCAGCAGUGGGGAAUAUGGGACAAUGGGCGCAAGCCUGAUCCAGCCAUACCGCGUGGGUGAAGAAGGCCUUCGGGUUGUAAAGCCCUUUUGUUGGGAAAGAAAAGCAGCAGGUUAAUACCCCGCUGUUCUGACGGUACCCAAAGAAUAAGCACCGGCUAACUUCGU
rnacentral:rRNA from 1 species